rnacentral:lncRNA from 1 species
AUUUUGCAAUCUUAAAUGAUUAAAGAAGCAUUUAAAGAGUAUCAGUAGUUCUUAAAAGCGAAUAUGAACACAAAAUACAAGCAGCAGUGGACACUAUUUACAAAGUGGGUAACAAUGGUAGAAGUUCUUCCAGUUUAAGCAACUAACAAAGUGGGUAACAAUGGUAGAUUAAAGCACAAAAAAGUAUUAAAAAAAAGGAGAAGACACA